UACGUAGGGAGCAAGCGUUGUCCGGAUUCAUUGGGCGUAAAGAGCUCGUAGGCGGCUUGGCAAGUCGGGUGUGAAAACUCCAGCUCAACCUGGAGACGCCACCCGAUACUGCCAUGGCUAGAGUCCGGUAGGGGACCACGGAAUUCCUGGUGUAGCGGUGAAAUGCGCAGAUAUCAGGAGGAACACCGGUGGCGAAGGCGGUGGUCUGGGCCGGAACUGACGCUGAGGAGCGAAAGCGUGGGGAGCGAACAGG
rnacentral:rRNA from 1 species